ACCUUCCCACUGAUAUUCCAUUACAUUUUGUUGCCUUGUGACAAGUGGCAGCAGAGGGGCAGUCCAACAAAACGGUGUCUGACAUGGAAGUAUAUAUGAAAAGAAAGGGAUGGAGUUGAAUUCCUCCCUGGAAAAAUCUGCACCUACUGACAUUCUUUGACAGUUGCUGAACACUUCUGGAGACCAAAUAUUGGCUGUGAGCAUAGAGAAGUGGUGGGUGAUUGAUACUCAAGAGGCAGGAGACAAAUUUGAACCAAUGUUAUCAUUUCCCCAUUUUGAGGGGAAGAACAGAAAGCAAGUGAAGCUGUUUGUAACUGAUACAAAGAAAGCAGACAAAUGUGCAUUUCUACUGCCAGUCAUGCCAGGGGAAGCAAGAACCUCCUCCCUGCCAGCCCACCUCAGCUGCUCAUCAGCACCUAGCAUAGGAAUUUCUGCCUUCCUCGAACUCCCUUCCAUCAAGACAAAUGGCAUGAAGCAGCCCACCUCAUUCUACCUAAACUGGAAGGACUGCUCACUGUCACUGUUCAGAUGACAAAAUCUGGCACAGCUUGGUCAUCAGUCAGAAGCUGUCUUUCUGCAAUCGUAGACCAGAGGUGAUAAUUUUGUGGCAAAAAGAAGAAAGAGGCAAAAGGAGACAAACUGAAGAAGGAAGAGCUUCCCAGAUUUGAAGGCCCUAAGACAAAGCAUCUAUAAAUGCCUGAAGUACAACCAGCUUUAACACACAACCUGCUUUACUAGCAAUUCUGAGUGCUUUGAAAUUCAUGGCCUGGUCUCACAUUUUUCUUCAGGAUUGAUGUUCCAAGGCACACUACAACAAGUGGCCGCAGAAACAAAACUCUGUUGAGUACAGUAGCCUCAAGUUGCACCAGGGUGAGUUUAGGUUGGAUAUCUGGAAAAACUUCUUUACAGAAAGGGUUGUUAAGCACUGGAAUAGGCUCCUCAGGGAGGUGGUUGAGUCACCAUCCUUGGAUGUGUUUAAAAACAGUUUGGAUGUGGUGCUCAGGGACAUGAUUUAGCAGAAGGUUGUUAGGGUAGAAUGGUUAGGUUGUGGCUGGACUCAAUGAUCUUUAACGUCUUUUCCAACCUUAGCAAUUCUAUGAUUCUAUGAUUCCCAUGUUUUUCACCAACUCAUCUCCAAAAAUACUUAGACCAAAGGCAGUGCCACAUAUUUAUCAAAUGAGACCUCAUAAAACCCUGUGUUGUGCUUGCCCAUUGCUUCCAUCAAGAAACCAUUUGAACUUUUCAUAGGUUCUCAAAUAUUACAGUGUGAAACUAGUACUAGGUCUAGUAAAAACAAAUCCUUUCCUCCCUAAACUUUAAUCCUUCAAGAAGGACUUUUCUGUCUUCUUGGGAGCUCUACCAGCUAAUUUCCUUGAGACUUUAAUGUAUUAGAAGACUUAGUGUCUUCUGUUUUGCUCCUAUAAGAGCACUGGGUUGUUCAUCUUAUGUGAACAUUCAAAAAAAAAAAAGAAAAUCAACAUAUUAAAUGCAUUCUAGACAGUUCACAAAGUCCUCUCUAAAAAAGCCAUCUCUACUUCUCAGUUUUCUCUACUGAAUUCAACACCUAUAGUUUUACUUAAAACAACUUACCAUUUAAAUAUAGUUCUAACACCACAAGCAGUGAUGGUCUUCUAUCAUGAAUAUAGUGCUCUCUCUUCAGUUAGCAAGAACUCCCACCAAGACCUCUGUACUUUCUUUUAGUAUGUAUUUCAGAACAGAGAAAUCAAAGUAAAUGCCUUUCAAAAUGAGGUCAUGCAUAGUUCCAAAAUUGUUUCCAUAGCAGAUUUCCUUUUUCAAAUAAAAAUAGAAGAACAGAAUUUAUUUUACUGCAAAAAAUAUUCUCUGUUCGUUCUUUUCUUAGACAGAAGAGGUAGAAAUUUUGUUUAUCCAAACUUCUGAAAACAGAUAUCUGGCUGCACAGAGAGAGCCAAAUGUUGGAAAAAGAUCAGUUCAGAUGAAAGAAAGGAAGUCAUGGAUUAUUUGAGGAAAGGAGAAGGGAAGGGGAAAAAGAAAAAACCAACCACAACUGGUCCUGGCAAGGCCUCACGGUUUUAGUUAUCAUUCAACAGGUUGCAUCACCAGAGGCACACAGUAGAAAGCUCUGCACAGAUCUAGAGCUCCCACUUCAGCCUCCAAGUGCUUUAUUUCAGGCAUAACACACUAACUCAAUUUUACAGUGUGCUUUGACUUGUAAGAUAAAAAAUAAUUUAUGAAUAUGAGGACAAUGUGAUAUACUUCAACAGAAAGCCUGCUAUCUCACAGCUCUGAUUUAUUAACUUCGCAGGAAAAGGAGAACAGUUACUACAGCUGUAAUAGGUCUUCUGUUUGCUUUUCAAAGUUCACCACCCUAGAAUACCAUUAAUAAAUUAGGGAGGUGGGAACUUUCAGUGACCAUAACAAAGCCUAAACAAGAACUGUAUUACUAAAAAAAUACAGCAGACCUCACCUCAAUACAUACAACUAACACACUAAGUAGAGGUGGUAACACUCUCUCAGUUUCCCUCUUGAAGUAGUUUAUUUUGUACUGUUGAAAGACAUCUAUAUGACCCUGUCAAACUGAUUGGGAAAACCAUCCUCAGUAAGACAGCCUUCUGAAAGAUCUCAAAAUAAUUCGACAUACUGCCAGCUACAGUCUGUACUGUUCAGCUUUUCAUAUCCAGCCAACAUCAUUCCUAUAAUUAUCCUUAACACACUGUACUGCAGUAGCUAUUCCAGUGGCAUAGAGGCAUAUGAUGUAUGAUUUUUGGUCACUUUUAUACUGGAGUAAGCUGUUUGUAGAAAACAAGAACUUUUAUAUUUUUUUUAAUCUCCAUGCAACACAGCUCCACCCAAGAGGAACAAUUGUGCCACUGCUUUUCCAAUUAUGUUCUUCAGCAGACAUGCUUGAAAUCUUAGUCACUGGAAGAAAUCAUUUCAGGUUGAGAUCCCAUUUUGCCCAACAAACAGCUUACAAGAACUAAAUUGGGAUAUAAAAUUCAGUCCUAAGAUUCUUCUGAAAAUGGCGAUAAGUAGACAGUCUACUAAAACUGCUGGAGACAUUUCGUUGAAUAAGAGUAACCCGUAACAUAAGCCUGCUACAAAUUUCAUGUAAUUUAUUGUGGAUCAGAGGAUUUGAAUGGAAAACUACUUGGAGUAGCCACACACCCUCCAGUUCCUGGUUUCCUAGCUGUCGUGAUUCAAUUACACUAGGAUGCUGCAUCUUUCACAGUCUCAGGCACUUCUUUUAAAGGCAGUGAAGAUGCUUGAAAAUGAAAGAGAAAAGAAGCCAAAGAAAAAGCUGCUAUUUACUUGAUCUGGAAUAGCCCUGUGGUAACUCUAUGUCCAGGUUCUUCUCCACCAGUUACGUGAAAAGGAUAGCAUUUGACAGUCUCAUGGAACUAUUCCUACAAUCUUGUUCAGGUGGCAGACUAUGUCCUAACCACUCCAGUUCAACCAUGCCCCUCAAGUGUUUUGGUGAUGUUUACUUGUCAGUUUCACCAGAUAUCUGCCUGGGGUACAUUACUGCUCUUGCUACUGGGAAUGAUGUAUAUGCACCCAAUUUCUGAAAUGACAGCCUGUUUCCUCUCAUCCUGCCUUCAAGGAAUAUAGAUGGCACUUUACUUCUCUCUUUGCAAAGGCCUUGUAUCCCUAAACAUUUUAAUUCCUCUCCUCCGUCUCAUUUUUAUUAGAGAAGAGGAAUGCUCAACCUUCUCUUGGAAGUCAUUUUUACUAUCUGGUCAGUUACUCACUUUGUGCUCUUUUAGCUCCUCAGUUAAUCAGCAAAUUCCUUACAUGCACCAUUUCUUUGAAAACUAUGGCUCCUGUGAGGCCUCCUGUGAGCUUAUUGAAGACUGCAAGUCAGCAGUUAUUUAGCACUAGGUGUGUACGUGCCACUUAUCUUUCAGCUACAUUAGAUAUAGGCGAAGCUAUCUUUAGGUAAGUAAACAGCCUAUAUUUCAGCUCACAUAAGGUUGAAAAAACUUUUAAAAUAUUUUCUGUCCCCUAUUCCUUUCAUGUACUACUUUAAUCCCCACUCCGUGAAGACAAACAAACAAACAAAAAAGCUCUGCAACCUGUAAAAAUAUGCUAAAGAUUUCAGGAGAAUUUGUGUUUCCCCGCCAGUUUUGUGUAACAAAAGAUUUUUGCCUAACUUAAUUGUCUUUUACCAAAAAUGUUGGAAUUAAUGGGAUGCAUUUAAUUGUCAGUGAAAUAGUUUGUAUGUGCAGCAUGCAACACUGACAAACUGCAGUACCAAACUGAUUACAGCAUCAGCUCUGCUGUCUGCAUUAUGUGAAAUCUCUAUACAGCGUCACAGUCAAAGCCAGUAAGCAAUACAAAUUCUAAACUACAAAAGGACCUAGGUUGAACCUUGCUGCUAGUGUCUUGAAACAGAUCUUGCCACUUGUGCAGACUUUGUUUUUACUUUUUUUAAAUGAGUGUAGUAUGUAGGCUCUUGUUCAUUGCUUGCACAGGUAUACAGCUAACAGUGAUGACUAUGAUGAAAACAGCAUUUUGUAGAGCAAAUUCUGAGCUAUCGAAUGGCGUUCUCGUGGGGUUUUUUUGUAUCUGUUGUAGUUCCCAUGGAAAUAAAUAGGAGGCAUUACUUUCAGAGUGACCUAUGUAAUAAUUAUCAAAUAAGUGCUGUAAAAUAGUAAAGUUAACGGCAUUGCACAUUGAGCAGUUAGACUAAGAAGUGGGAGCAGCAAUUGUAAAAAUAAUUAAACCUGUUCUGCUUCUAACUCUUUAUGCUAUUAAAAGCCACUUGCAAUUUUAGACCUCUACAGAAUAAUGAAAAACUAAAGAUGCAUUAUUCAAACAAGUGAAAAUGUUUUACUGUGUAUUCUCUUAGCAGCACUUGGAGGUAUUAGCUCCUACUUCAAGUAGGAAGAAAAAAACACUAGUAUAUAUGUUUUUUGAGAUUAAUCAAACUUCAGUCACUAGUCAGGUUAUAUCUUGGUCAGACCAGUGUCUGACCACUCUAAAAGCCACCACUCACUUUGAAAGACAGGUAAGCAUGUUACAGUUAAAGGGGCAAGCACAAGAUACUUGAGGAAUCAAACAUUCUGCCUUGAGGGGCUCUGUUAGUAUUAUAUGGAAUCCAGGGAUCAGGUGAAGGAGAAGAAAUAAGAAUGGUAUUAUUUGACCUUGACCUAGAUGAGAACAGCAAUUUAGGAGAUUAUAGUAUAGACAAAAUGCACAGCUAGUGGCAACAAAGCAUUUUAGCAAAGAUUAUUACCAGACCAGGAAAAGCAUUUCCAUUCAAAGCACCUAUGUGAGUUAGAUGGUCUCCUUUCAGUGUUUUCCUUGAUGAUUUUAAGGGAAGGACAUAUGAAGCAUUCUGACAAAAAUUAUGAAAAAAAUGACACAGAUGACACCAAGAUGAAGAAACAGUAAAAUACUCAGAAGGGCAAUGUCAAUGUGAUUUUGAUAAAUUGGACAAGUGGUACAAGAAGAUGAAAGAUGGCAAAGACCAAAGUGAUUGAUUUCUCACUGCUGUAUCUAGCACUCAUCUGCAAAACAAGAACCACAAACUCCAAGGACUGAAUGAAGAUUUGAGUCUACUGGAACUAAACAGGAGUCACUAACUACUGCAAAUGAAGUUGCGUAGAUUUUCUCUAUCUAUGACAAGUAAGGGCUUCUAUUCCAUUCUACUCAACAACAAAGAAA